rnacentral:tRNA from 2 species
GCCGAAGUGGCGGAAUUGGCAGACGCGCUAGGUUCAGGUCCUAGUCCUCGUAACUGGGGGUGAAGGUUCGAGUCCUUUCUUCGGCA